rnacentral:rRNA from 1 species
UCUUCUAGAAUUUAUUGGAAGUCGGGCCUGUCCACUGAUAAUUAUUGAAGGGCCGCGGUAUUUUGACCGUGCAAAGGUAGCAUAAUCAUUAGUCUUUUAAUUGAAGGCUGGAAUGAAUGGUUUGACGAAAUAAUAACUGUCUCUAAAUAAAUAUAUUGAAUUUUACUUUUAAGUUAAAAGGCUUAAAUGUGUAAAAGGGACGAGAAGACCCUAUAGAUCUUUAUGAUGUAUAUUAUAAUAUUAGUUUUGGAUUAAUAUGAUAUUUAUAGUAUAUAAUUAUUGUGUUGGGGUGAUAUGAGAAUAUUAUAACUUCUUUAAUUUUAACUUUGAUAAAUGAUUAAAAGAUCCUUUAAUAUGGAAUUAAGAUUAAGAUACCUUAGGGAUAACAGCGUAAUUUUGUUGGAAAGUUCUUAUUGAUAAUGAAGAUUGCGACCUCGAUGUUGGAUUAAGAAUAUAUAUGUUGGUGUAGGUGCUUGUAGUAUUGGUCUGUUC